rnacentral:lncRNA from 1 species
CAAUGCUAAUAACUGGGAUUACAUUUACAUUUGAUCAGUCAGCAACAAUGCAAAGAAAUUAAGUGACUUCUCUUGCUUUUAGAACAUACUAAUCAAUUCUGUACGUACCCCAAGCAGCUCUAGCACUGUAUGUAGAGUUACAGAAGUGCAUGUGUGGACACACAGCUUCUGCCCUCUUUCCAAAACACACACACACACACACACACACACACACGUGCACACACUGACAGGUGUUCUGCCAGCUAUGAAGAACAGAACUCAUGAGCUGCCUCAUUGUGAAAGGCAUUCUUUUCCAGUAACAACAAAGGAAGUCUUCCACCCAGCAGUAUGAAGGUAGACCAUUCUCUAUAAGCAGGUAAGACACACCAGUCUCCUAAAUGCUGAAGAGGACUAAAAAGCACACAACAUCAGACCACGGAGAAAAUCCCACCAAGUUCUUUGUGACAGCAAGCAGAGGCGAGGGCACCAAAAAUCCACCUCUGCCAUAUGAAGAGAGAGAGUGGGGAGGGAAAAAGCCAAAUUCUUAAGUUGUGCAAGAAUAAGUAAAUCACAUCCAACUAUGACAGCAUUAACAACACAAUAUCAAGGAUUUAUACUUUUUGUUGUUCAUGUAAGCCUCCCAAACCAUUUCUCUGCUCCUGGGCAGACGAGGCAGGACAAGUGGAUAAAUAAGCUGUGCUCGCAGCCACACGCACCUGCCAGCUAUCGUCUUACCUUCCCGCUCUUGUGCGAUCUCAUUUGGACCCAAGUAAGAAGUCUCCCCUUACAGCCACAUUGUGUUCAUUCAUGCAGUCAUUCUCUAAACCAGUCUGACUGCUCGGAGCGAGCAGAAUUACACUUAAGCCUCUGUGACCGGGGCACUGCAGGAUCCUCGCUUUUGGUCCGUUCCCUGCUGGAGUGGGAAGCGGUGACCGAACCCUCCCACUCAAUGGGCAAGCCCAAAUGUCCAUCUACAGCACCAAGGAUCCAUGGCUUUUAGAGUUUGUCAGAUUCUUGCAGUUUAUAGUGCUGAAAGCUCACCAAGAGGUGAGCCGGGGGUUAAAGUUAUUCGUCUCAUGAUUGAUCUGCUCUUCAGGUUUGCUGCAACGGGCCGCACUGUGCCUUUAAGAGAGCUCUGUAUGACUGCAGGGCUAGUCUUGGCACCUGGUCUUGGCCUUCUGAAUGUCCCUAUUCAGGCAGAGCUAUUGUGCUUUGACUUUUUGCUUCACCUUAAUCCAAAUGAGUUUUCAAGUUCAGACAAGCCCUCUGGUUGUUCAUAACUUUAACUACAUGGGACAUUACACAGGCACCUACAAACUGGCAGAAUCAGGCCCUUCACUAUUGUCUUAAGCCCGGUUUUGAAAAGAAUAUGGCACUGUUGCUUAUGGGUUUGCCAAAGCAAACUGUGACCUGGCAUCUGAAAAAAGCAAGGAGUCUGGGACGCGUGGCAACAACAGAUGUCUGCCGUGCAGCUGGGACAUGAACAAAGUCAGAGGGAGGAUCUGCAGGAGGCUGUGGUAGGAGGCUGAGGCCGCAGGGCAAGUGCAGCUCCUUCCCCAGCCACAGAGACCCCAUUUCAGUGCUGUCAAAUGCUUCAGAGCAACAGCUAAGAAAUUCUUUCCAUAUCUGCUGUUAAUUAGUAACUGCUUAUUUACAUCUAGGAAAGGCAAACACUGGUCUGCCUCUUCUGGAGUGCCGUGCUUCAGGAUUAGCGACAGACAGACCUUCUGCAGCUCACGACAUUUACCUACUGUAUUUUCUUUAACAGCUGAAGUAAUGACAUCUUAUUGACAGCACAGCAGAGCAAACAAUGUCUUACUGAAAGCUUCAGUGCUGGAUUUGGGCCGUCCUAAGGACCUGAGACCAAGUAAAGUAAGCAGGUUUUGCUACUGAAUGAAAGACAAUGACUGUUCUAGUUCACCGGUGGCCUUUAGCACUCCUAGACACAAAAAAGAAUCAUAGAACGGCCUGGGUUGAAAAGGACCACAAUGAUCAUCGAGUUUCAACCCCCCUGCUAUGUGCAGGGUCACCAACCACCAGACCAGGCUGCCCAGAGCCACAUCCAGCCUGGCCUCGAAUGCCUCCAGGGAUGGGGCAUCCACAACCUCCCUGGGCAACCUGUUCCAGUGUGUCACCACCCUCUGAGUGAAAAUUUGAGUCUAUUCAUAGUUCAGAAGUGGGUUACCAUCUGAGAUUAAAAAUUUUAACUGUCAAAGAGAGUUGAUUUUAAGAUUUUCAUUCCCCUUUUAGGUGAAUUUUAGUGUUUAUAUCUGCCAGGAAUGUGGGUUUGGUUUUUAUCCUUGCUGCUCCUGAGCUUUGAGGAAAACCUGAUCAGCACUUUAUACUUUAUUUUUUUUUUUAGUAAUUUAUAGAAGGAUGGAAAGACCCAUUGCUUUUAUAUCAUUGAGUAAAAAAAAAACUACGUAGGUACCAAGUGUUUCUUUUGUUUUGCACAUGUAAAUGUAAGUGUUUAGAGGGAUUUUUAGAUGAUCAUAGAUGUGCUUUUGGAUCUAAUUCUUAAGUAUGUACCAAAUGUGACUUAACAAAUUUUCAAGAUUGUAAGUUGGAGAAAAGCACAAUAUGUAAUGACCUUACCUUCAACACAAAUGAACAGACAACACUCGAGUACUCCCUUUGGAUACUUAUUUUGGACACUUGGCUCACUUGCAGUGUCUGCAAAAUUUUCUGAUACACAUUUCACGUUUGUUAGUGGUGAUUUUAGACUACAGAUAUGAGCAGAAGGUGCUGCAGGAGGCAAAGCACUAACCCACACUGCUUUGGAUUUCUUCUCGAAUCUCCUUUCCUCAUUGCAAAACCAGACCGGUUUUAAUCACUCUAGCACAAGUGUGCAGUGCCUCGGGAUAGCCCGGGGUGAGCUGUGCUCCCGCUGCAGGAAUUGCUGUGCGCUGCCCGCUCCUGGCACCAUGGGGGCCCUGCAGCACCACAUGGCCUCUGAAGGCAUCUUCCAGUCUUGGAGGGUUUUCUGACCCCAUGCUGUGCUGCCAGCAGAGCCAUCUCUUUUGGAAGUUUUUUAAAUUAUCCCGGGUACUGCUGACUGGAAAGUUUUCAACAGUACGUAUUCUUUUCAGAAAAUGAAGUAAAAUAAAAUAAAAUAAAAUAAAAUAAAAUAGAAUGCCAGUUCAUCAAAAAAGGAACUUUAAACAGAAGUCUGUUGAGAGCAAAAUGAGAGAGAUGAGACAAAGAUCAUUUUCCUUCGAGAAAGUGGAAUUUCUGCUCUAGUCAGGAGAGACUGAAAGCCCCGGCCCCGCACAGCAGCAUCCUUACCUGCAAUAACCAUUACCUUCACAUCUGUGCAACUCAUCUGGCAGAAACAGCCUGGGGUUGAGUCCCCGACACACAGAAUCCAAAUUAGAUCUGUUAUUUCUACAGCCAGAUAAGAAGGCGAUGCUGCUACAAUGGCCCACCACACCAUCAAUCUCAAUGCUGCGCUUUCCCCAGUCGCACUUGCAUUCCUGUGUUGAAAGAACCACUGCAGCACUGCAAGAUCUGUCUUUGUUCCACAUUUUCUCAUAUAUUAAUAUGUUGGAUGCCAUUAUCCUGGGGAAAACUGGCUGUUUGCAAGAGCUCCAUUUCAGUAGUAGCUUUUCAAGACUUUUUUGGUCGUACAACUUAAAAAUCAUACCAUCAAUAGCAUUUCUCAUAAGAUGGAUGCCACCAGCCCACAAACACCCUCUGUGAUGGCCAUUUGGAGACAUGAGGAGGUCACAGCCACCAUGAGAUACCCUUGCAGAGCUGGCAGCACUAGGGCUGACGUUGCAAUCCCCAUGAAGGUAGCCCUGAGGUGGUCAGUGGAUGGAGGGUCUAACCCUAUCCUUUUGGGUCUAACCACAGCUGCCAGGAGAUGUUUUUGAGCCUUCAUUUUCAAGUUCCCCACAGCAUCCACAGUACCACUGGUAUGCAGCAUAUGGCCUGUGCAGUAACAAAUUAGGAGAUUUUAAAGGGACUUUUCUAAGCUUUGUGACUCACCCAGAACCAGGUGAUGCUGUCAUCUUCCCAAAGUUAAACUUGUUCCCUCACACUUUUGUGAUCUGGGUAUGUAUCUCUUGGACUAGUAAAUGGUAAUUUAAUGGGUUGUUUUCUCCAAUAUCCCACUUGUGCCGGUUAAAUGCAAUACAAUUUACCUGUCUGAUGGAUCAGGAGAGCAAUUCCUCCUCAUGUAAUGUGAAGCUUAUAAGUCCCAUACCUCUGCUCUCCCCAUAAAGGUGCAAUAUAGAGUUUCUCUGUUCUUUCAUAAGACAGGGCAAACAGGAACAAGGCAGCAGCUGGGUAGUUUUCUUCUAUAUUCAUUUAUUUAUCUGUUGCACUCCUGAUUUUUGGUGCUUCACGUUUGCUGCUGCUGUAGUGAAGCCAAGACACACACACACACAUCUCCUCAUUCCUACAGCUCCAUGUAAAGCCAGCCUUAGUGAAGCUUAGCACUGCCUGUAUGUCGAAGGGAUACCUGCUGGCAGCCAGCAGCAGAGUCCAUUUCUAAAUUGAGGUGUGCACUGAAAAUGGGCUGCAAAAUAAUGCUGUUAGUGAGCAUGUUAAAGAGGAGCAGUUAUUAGCAGUCUUUCAGCUGAGUGCUAAGCUGUACUGAACAGAAUAAGGACAAGAGCAUUUCAUAACUGAGGCAGUACAAGUUACAUUAUAAAUUUCAAUGUCAUGCUACACAGUUACAUUAAAUUAUUUUCCCCAUAUUUUGAGUUAUCCCCUCUUUCCUUAGACAGGGCAUUCUCCUAUGCAAAAUCAUUACAAGCCUAUUAGCAUGAAAAGGCAAAUGUCUAUGAAUAUUAAUAGAAUAUGAAUGCAUACUGUUACACUUGUCCUCCUCCCUUUGUAUGGGCCAGGCCCAUUUCCAGAGGUGGGCUGAUAGUACAGGAGUGGAGCCUGGCUGACCCUCCUCGCUCUUAGCAUUGUGGGCAUCUUUGUAGGUUAACCUUUGCAUCCAUAUGCUGAGGUGCUGAUUAUGAGUCUCCAAUUGUGAAAAUCUCUUAAGAUAGAAAGAUGGUGGUUUCUGU